AAGCGAAUUUAUAUUCACCCUAUUUAACAAUCAAUCCCAUGAUAAGCACUGUGGGUUAAGAUAAGAACAUGCAGAAAAUGUACAAACUUUUUAUAAUUAAGUACGUAAUGGGUAAGACGUUAUUUCAUCACAAAAGAAUCUCACAUUGCCAGAUUGUUUUGAUGUGAUUGGAUCCUUCUUAGACAUCCCAGUCUGAGGCAGACUUUUUAUGUUCUCCGUGGAGGGAUACAAAUGAUGGCUAGAUGGUAAACCCGAAGCAGAGUUUUCCUGUAGCAACUGCGAGCUACGAAUAGAAGGCAAUGGUUCCAUAAUCCCAACC